AAAAUUUUGUGCCUUGUUGAAUGUUCUCCCUCUCUCUCGAGUUCUCUUCUCUCAAGUUCUUUCUUUCUCUCUUCAAGUUCUUUCUUUCUCUCUUCAAGGUCUCUUCCCUCUCGAGUUUCUCCCCCUUCUCCCUUGAAUUUCUCUCAUUCUCCCCCUCAAGUUUCUUCCUUGAACCAUCAUAAUUGAUCCUCCCAUCCUUGUGAGAGAUUUGAUCAACCCCAUUCUCUUCAUCCUCCUCCCCACCCAUCACAUCCUUCCUCUCUUCUCCACUUCGAGUCACCCCAUCUCUUUAUCUACUAAUGCCUCUUCUUCAACCUUUGGGCAAUCAUUUGCAAAGGAGAUCAAAGCCAUUCUCAAGGAGUCAAGAGGACCCUCAAGCAAUCAAGAAUUCUCUAUAAGGUAUUUAAUUUUUCAUUCCUCUUAAGUGCUUAAUUUGAUCAUCACUUGAAGUAUAUUGCUCUAAAUUAUUGUGUGAAGCCUUUAAGAUAGCCACCUUUGCCUAUUUGGUGAUCCAAAGCCCAUGUUCCUAAGUUUGAUUUAUCUUAUUGAAUUAGGGUUCUCAAUCAAAGCAACCAUAAAUCUAGAUCCUAUCUAAAUCAUAUUGUGUGUUGAGUGAUUUGACUAUCUCAAUUGAAUUUACCAAAAGUCAACCUUUAAUCUCUCUUUUUGAAGCCUCUUUGUGGAAAUCAUAAAUCUCUCUAUCUAUCCUACAUCAAAAGCAUUAUGACAUAUAAUCUAUAAAUUAAAAUUUUCCUCUAACUUUCAUCCUUAUACAAGGGUAUUUCCUAAUGACUUCCCACCUUCAUUUAAAUUUAUUCUUUUAGUAUUUUUCUAAUUGUCAUAUGUUAGUGAACACUAGUUUGUGCUCUAAUCAUCUAGGUAAUGGAAUGUGAGAGAGUGAUCUCUAUUUAGUUUUAUUAGACCAAAUAUUAAGUGUGGAAUGCCUAAAUCAUGACAGUUUUUUAAUUGCAUUAGUAUCUCUCCUUUUUUGGCUCAUAGAAACCUCAAGGCCUGACCACCAUGAUAGCUGAUCUAUUAGAACACAAUCCUUUUCUGAGAAUUUGUUGAGGUGAUUAGCCCCUUUGUCAAAUGUCAUGUGUCAAGUUAUUAGUAAAAAUUAUUAAACCAAAAAAUAUCAUGAACCAUUAGUCUUGGAGGGUAUAUAUCGGAAAUAAAGGCACUUAUACAUCAAUUCUAGUUGUUUAAAAGGAUUUAAACCAGAAAAUUAUUUGAAUUAUAAUGGACGACUUUAUUUUUAUGAUCAUUUAAUAAUAAUAAUAGUUAGUUCAACCAGUAAAGUUCUGCUGUCAUUCUGACGCAUCCACAACAAUUCCCUCACAUACGUCUCCCUACUGGGAACAGGCAGCAUGGCCCUGCCGCCGGCAGCGUCGUGGUCCAAUUAGGUUAGACAACUGAAAAAAUUCUGCCGCCACACAAACCCGAUCCGAAUGUGGUGGAGCAUGUACCCAAGCUCCACCAAUGAAGGCAACGACGUCAAAGGAUGUCACAUCAUCUGCAGCCAUCCCACGUCGUCGCCGUCGGAAUCAACUGAAGGAUCCGAAUUUCCUUUAUUAUUAGGCUUAAUUUUCACUCAUUUUGCUUGAUCAUAUUCUAAUCUUCUUUUUCAUUCCAAAGCCUAUAAAUAGGCUUAAGAAUUCCUUGAACUGGUGGCUGAUUUUGGGAUUAAGAAAGGUAUCUUUCCUAAGAACAUGCCUUAGGGGAUCUGUGCAACCGCCACCACCUAUAGCCGCCACCGUCGCAUGGGUCCCACCCUACUCCAAGGUCAACCUUCCCUCUCUGGGUGAACCCUCCACCAGCUCUCGCACACUCCUCUUCGUGCUGACGGCCUCCUGUCAGUUCACUGAUCACGCACGGCGGACUUCCUUCUGUGAGUGUCUGCGAGACCUAACCAUCUUGACGCACGACAGAAUGCCCCACAGUGGUGAACGUCCUCCGCAUCAGCGUCAGGCGUCCGCCGUCGAGGGACGGUUCCGCUGGAUCGUCGUCUGCAUGCAACGAGCUCCUCUCCAUGGCGUCCGUGC
rnacentral:lncRNA from 1 species